rfam:Gorilla gorilla gorilla genomic chromosome, chr1, whole genome shotgun sequence
GCCAGGCAUGGUGGCGUGUGCCUGUAGUCCCAGCUACUAGGGAGGCUGGGGUGGGGGGAUCUCUUGAGCCCAGGAACUCAAGGCUGCAGUGAGCUAUGAUCAUGCCACUGCACUCCAGCCUGGACAACAGAAUGAGACCCCAACUCUA